rnacentral:rRNA from 1 species
CCUACGGGAGACAGCAGUGGGGAAUAUUGGGCAAUGGGCGCAAGCCUGACCCAGCAACGCCGCGUGAAGGAAGAAGGCUUUCGGGUUGUAAACUUCUUUUGACAGGGAAGAGCAGAAGACGGUACCUGUCGAAUAAGCCACGGCUAACUACGUGCCAGCAGCCGCGGUAAUACGUAGGUGGCAAGCGUUGUACGGAUUUACUGGGGGUAAAGGGCGUGUAGCCGGGCUGACAAGUCAGAUGUGAAAUCCGGGGGCUCAACCCCCGAACUGCAUUUGAAACUGUUGGUCUUGAGUAUCGGAGAGGCAGGCGGAAUUCCCAGUGUAGCUGUGAAAUGCGUAGAUAUUAGGAGGAACACCAGUGGCGAAGGCGGCCUGCUGGACGACAACUGACGGUGAGGCGCGAAAGCGUGGGGAGCAAACAGGAUUAGAUACCCGGGUAGUC